CAGUCGCCACGGUAAUACAGAGGGUGCGAGCGUUAAUCGGAUUUACUGGGCGUAAAGCGUGCGUAGGCGGCUUUUUAAGUCGGAUGUGAAAUCCCUGAGCUUAACUUAGGAAUUGCAUUCGAUACUGGGAAGCUAGAGUAUGGGAGAGGAUGGUAGAAUUCCAGGUGUAGCGGUGAAAUGCGUAGAGAUCUGGAGGAAUACCGAUGGCGAAGGCAGCCAUCUGGCCUAAUACUGACGCUGAGGUACGAAAGCAUGGGGAGCAAACAGGAUUAGAUACCCCCGUAGUCCCUGUCUCUUAUAC
rnacentral:rRNA from 1 species